GUCGGUGUGAUGUAGUGGUUUGAGAGUUAGACUGCAGCUCUAGAGACCGAGGUUCAAAUCCUUCUCAGUCG